CAGGGAGACAACAAAAUGUUUAAUAUUAUUAUUUUGUCACCUAAGGUCGAUCGGUAUCUCACGUUCUUAAUUUAUUAAGAAUUUUAUUUCCUAAGUUUUUCUAGGUCACACCCAUUAUUUUUCCUGGGCCAUUAGCUCAGGUGGUUAGAGCGCACCCCUGAUAAGGGUGAGGUCCCUGGUUCAAGUCCAGGAUGGCCCAUAUCUCUAUGUUGGGGGUAUAGCUCAGUUGGUAGAGCGCCUGCUUUGCAAGCAGGAUGUCAGCGGUUCGAGUCCGCUUACCUCCACUGAUUACCACCUCUUCCAUAUUUUUAGAAAGGAAAUCUUGUGAGUUGUGAUCAAAUUCUGAACGAAUCUAGCUUCCUAAUGAAUUCAUUAAGAUGCUGGACUCAUUGAAUUAAUUUCAUUGUUUUCAGAGAACCUUGACAACUGCAUAGAUUAUUUUUAAAGACAAUAAGCAUCUUUAAUGAUGCAGAUUUAUUAUUUGUGCGAAUGCAUUAAUAACAAUUCUAUUAAGCUGAUGCUUCAAUUUUGAAGUUAUU
rnacentral:tRNA from 1 species